rnacentral:rRNA from 1 species
GACGAACGCUGGCGGCGUGCUUAACACAUGCAAGUCGAACGGAAAGGCCCUGCUUUUGUGGGGUGCUCGAGUGGCGAACGGGUGAGUAACACGUGAGUAACCUGCCCUUGACUUUGGGAUAACUUCAGGAAACUGGGGCUAAUACCGGAUAGGAGCUCCUGCUGCAUGGUGGGGGUUGGAAAGUUUCGGCGGUUGGGGAUGGACUCGCGGCUUAUCAGCUUGUUGGUGGGGUAGUGGCUUACCAAGGCUUUGACGGGUAGCCGGCCUGAGAGGGUGACCGGCGACAUUGGGCCUAAGAUACGGCCCAGAAUCCUAUGGGAGGCAGCAGGGGGGAAUAUUGCACAAUGGGCGGAAGCCUGAUGCAGCAACGUCGCGUGCGGGAUGACGGCCUUCGGGUUGUAAACCGCUUUCGCCUGUGACGAAGCGUGAGUGACGGUAAUGGGUAAAGAAGCACCGGCUAACUACGUG